rnacentral:rRNA from 1 species
CCUACGGGAGGCAGCAGUGAGGAAUAUUGGUCAAUGGACGGAAGUCUGAACCAGCCAUGCCGCGUGCAGGAAGACGGCUCUAUGAGUUGUAAACUGCUUUUGUACAAGGGUAAACCUGAAUACGUGUAUUCAGCUGAAAGUACUGUACGAAUAAGGAUCGGCUAACUCCGUGCCAGCAGCCGCGGUAAUACGGAGGAUCCAAGCGUUAUCCGGAUUUAUUGGGUUUAAAGGGUGCGUAGGCGGAGUGAUAAGUUAGAGGUGAAAUGUCCGAGCUUAACUCGGGAACUGCCUCUAAUACUGUUGGUCUAGAGAGUAGAUGCGGUAGGCGGAAUGUAUGGUGUAGCGGUGAAAUGCUUAGAGAUCAUACAGAACACCGAUUGCGAAGGCAGCUUACCAAUCUAUAUCUGACGUUGAGGCACGAAAGCGUGGGGAGCAAACAGGAUUAGAUACCCUUGUAGUC